GUGGCCCGUCUCUUUGGUAAAUCCGGGGGACAUUGUGGGUGAGGCCUGAUGGUGACCACUUUUUGUGGGAAGUAGGGUGAUCCUGUACUGCCGAGAAAAGCAUCGACGUGAGUAAUAUGACCGCCCGUACCCGAAACCGACACUGGUAGUUGGGUAGAGCAUACUAAGGCGUGCGAGUGAAUCGUGGUUAAGGAACUCGGCAAAAUGCCCCCGUAACUUUGGGAGAAGGGGGGCCCACUCUUUGCCUGUCUCUUGUCUAGACGUGGUGGGGGGUUGGGUCGCAGAGUCUAGGGAGAAGCGACUGUUUAUCAAAAACACAGGUCCGUGCGAAGCUGUAAGGCGAUGUAUACGGACUGACGCCUGCCCGGUGCUGGAAGGUUAAGCGGACUGGUUAGCCCUUUUUUGGGCGAGGCUGGGAAGUUAAGCCCCAGUAAACGGCGGUGGUAACUAUAACCAUCCUAAGGUAGCGAAAUUCCUUGUCGGGUAAGUUCCGACCUGCACGAAUGGCGUAACGACUUCUCUACUGUCUCGACCACGAGCUCGGUGAAAUUGCAUUACGAGUAAAGAUGCUCGUUUCGCGCAGCAGGACGGAAAGACCCCGGGACCUUUACUAUAGCUUGGUAUUGGUGUUCGGUACGGUUUGUGUAGGAUAGGUGGGAGACUGUGAUGCAUGGACGCUAGUUUGUGUGGAGUCGUUGUUGAAAUACCACUCUGGUCGUAUUGCAUGUCUAACUUUGGUCCGUGAUCCGGGCUAAGGACAGUGCCUGGUGGGUAGUUUAACUGGGGCGGUUGCCUCCUAAAGGGUAACGGAGGCGCUCAAAGGUUUCCUCAGCCUGGUUGGUCAUCAGGUGGUGAGUGUAAGUGUAGAAGGAAGCUUGACUGUGAGACAGACAUGUCGAGCAGGUACGAAAGUAGGAACUAGUGAUCCGGCGGUGGCUUGUGGAAGCGCCGUCGCUCAACGGAUAAAAGGUACCCCGGGGAUAACAGGCUGAUCCUGCCCAAGAGUUCAUAUCGACGGCAUGGUUUGGCACCUCGAUGUCGGCUCGUCGCAUCCUGGGGCUGGAGUAGGUCCCAAGGGUUGGGCUGUUCGCCCAUUAAAGCGGUACGCGAGCUGGGUUCAGAACGUCGUGAGACAGUUCGGUCCCUAUCCGCUGCGCGCGUUUGAGAAUUGAGAAGGGCUGUUCCUAGUACGAGAGGACCGGGACGGACGAACCUCUAGUGUGCCAGUUGUUCCGCCAGGGGCAUUGCUGGUUGGCCACGUUCGGGAGGGAUAACCGCUGAAAGCAUCUAAGCGGGAAGCCUGCUUCGAGAUUAGUUCUCGUUCCACCU
rnacentral:rRNA from 1 species